CCUAUGACUGGACUUCAACUACGUCAACGGUGCAUCUCAUCGUAUGCAUUGUCCCGGGUGCGUUGCCAUGGCAACUCCUCUGCCAGGAACCCAGCUAUUGCCAUGUCACUCUAAUGGAGCCUGCCUGAAGUGUUGAUGAUUGUCUAUCACAUUGUCAGUCAGUGGUUGAUUGAAACUGGAGACUCUCCGGAGGGAGGUUCCUGCAGUCUGUUCAGGCAAACAUUUUGCAGGUGUCAGGCAGAACACUGGAGAAGGAAAAGGAGGGUGAUGCUGUUAGCAGAUGUUUCCCUGCUCUUGUAGCCUUUUGCCAGCUGCUGAAAUUGUGACGUGUUCAUAAUGCCAUAGCCAUGCCAAUUCAGGUGAAUGUGGUCUAGCAACAGAGGCACUUCCAGUUUCUGUGGGAAACUUUGUUUUUCGUAGAAUCACAAAAAUCUUGAUGUCCUGGAGUGGUGCUGAAUGUAAUUUUUCUUUGCUGGAAUAUGUCCCUGUUUGAUGUGCCAUUUUGUCUGUAUCUUAUGUACUUUGUCGUUCUGUUCUUCCAGUG